UGGGGAAUCUUGCACAAUGGGCGCAAGCCUGAUGCAGCAACGCCGCGUGCGGGAAGAAGGCCCUAGGGUUGUAAACCGCUUUCAGCAGGGAAGAAGAUGACGGUACCUGUAGAAGAAGGUGCGGCCAACUACGUGCCAGCAGCCGCGGUGACACGUAGGCACCAAGCGUUGUCCGGAUUUAUUGGGCGUAAAGAGCUUGUAGGCGGUUCGGUAAGUCGGGUGUGAAACCUCUGGGCUCAACUCAGAGACGCCACCCGAUACUGCUGUGACUCGAGUGCGGUAGGGGAGCGGGGAAUUCCUGGUGUAGCGGUGAAAUGCGCAGAUAUCAGGAGGAACACCAGUGGCGAAGGCGCCGCUCUGGGCCGUAACUGACGCUGAGAAGCGAAAGCGUGGGUAGCAA
rnacentral:rRNA from 1 species